rnacentral:rRNA from 1 species
CAGUCGCCACGGUAAAACGGAGGGUGCAAGCGUUAUCCGGAUUUAUUGGGUUUAAAGGGUCCGUAGGCGGACUUAUAAGUCAGUGGUGAAAGCCUGUCGCUUAACGAUAGAACUGCCAUUGAUACUGUAAGUCUUGAGUAUAUUUGAGGUAGCUGGAAUAAGUAGUGUAGCGGUGAAAUGCAUAGAUAUUACUUAGAACACCAAUUGCGAAGGCAGGUUACCAAGAUAUAACUGACGCUGAGGGACGAAAGCGUGGGUAGCGAACAGGAUUAGAUACCCGGGUAGUCCCUGUCUCUCAUAC